rnacentral:rRNA from 1 species
AGAACGUCACAGAGGGUGAGAAUCCCGUGCGAUGAGAUGACCCAGACCUAUGUAAAGUUCCUUCGAAGAGUCGAGUUGUUUGGGAAUGCAGCUCUAAGUGGGUGGUAAAUUCCAUCUAAAGCUAAAUAUUGGCGAGAGACCGAUAGCGAACAAGUACAGUGAUGGAAAGAUGAAAAGAACUUUGAAAAGAGAGUGAAAAAGUACGUGAAAUUGUUGAAAGGGAAGGGCUUGAGAUCAGACUUGGUAUUUUGUAUGUUACUCUCUCGGGGGUGGCCUCUACAGUUUACCGGGCCAGCAUCAGUUUGGGCGGUAGGACAAUUGCAAAGAAAUGUGGCACUGCCUCGGUAGUGUGUUAUAGUCUUUGUCGAUACUGCCAGCCUAGACUGAGGACUGCGGCUUCGGCCUAGGAUGUUGGCAUAAUGAUCUUAAGUCGCCCGUCUUGAAACACGGACCAAGGAGUCUAACGUCUAUGCGAGUGUUUGGGUGUAAAACCCGUACGCGUAAUGAAAGUGAACGUAGGUAGGACCUCCUUUAGGAGUGCACUAUCGACCGAUCCUGAUGUCUUCGGAUGGAUUUGAGUAAGAGCAUAGCUGUUGGGACCCGAAAGAUGGUGAACUAUGCCUGAAUAGGGUGAAGCCAGAGGAAACUCUGGUGGAGGCUCGUAGCGGUUCUGACGUGCAAAUCGAUCGUCGAAUUU